rnacentral:rRNA from 1 species
CCUACGGGUGGCAGCAGUAGGGAAUAUUGCUCAAUGGGGGAAACCCUGAAGCAGCAACGCCGCGUGGAGGAUGAAGGUUUUCGGAUUGUAAACCCCUUUUGUUAGAGAAGAUAAUGACGGUAUCUAACGAAUAAGCACCGGCUAACUCCGUGCCAGCAGCCGCGGUAAUACGGAGGGUGCAAGCGUUACUCGGAAUCACUGGGCGUAAUGAGCGCGUAGGCGGGAUAGCAAGUCAGAUGUGAAAUGCUAUGGCUUAACCAUAGAACUGCAUUUGAAACUGGUAUUCUAGAGUAUGGGAGAGGUAGGUGGAAUUCGUGGUGUAGGGGUAAAAUGCGUAGAGAUCAAGAGGAAUACGCAUUGCGAAGGCGACCUGCUAGAACAUAACUGACGCUGAUGCGCGAAAGCGUGGGGAGCAAACAGGAUUAGAUACCCUAGUAGUC